UUGCACUCUUCCAAAGAUGCGUUUGGUUGUAUGAUGGAGACCAAUUCCAUGGCGAAGCAAAAGCAGACAAAAUGCUCCAAGAGUGCAGAAGAGUAGACUUCUGACAAAAAAUAAAAUGGCACAGAAGGAGUAUAACUGACAUCAGGAACCCCGCUAGCUAUUUAGUCGGAAGCCAGAUGGUUGAUAAGGAAAAUGCAAGUAGCAGGUGACAAUUAGCACACGCACUCCCUUAGACUACCUGCAUACCCCAGGACUGAAAGAUUCACC